rnacentral:rRNA from 1 species
CGCUGGCGGCGUGCCUAAUACAUGCAAGUCGAACGGUCUUUCUAUGGAAGCUUGCUUCCACUGAGAAGAUAGUGGCGAACGGGUGAGUAACACGUGGGUAACCUGCCCAUAAGAGGGGGAUAACAUCCGGAAACGGGUGCUAAUACCGCAUAGUUUUCUUGAUCGCAUGAUUGAGAAAGGAAAGACGGCCUUUGUGCUGUCGCUUAUGGAUGGACCCGCGGCGUAUUAGUUAGUUGGUGAGGUAAUGGCUCACCAAGACGAUGAUACGUAGCCGACCUGAGAGGGUGAUCGGCCACAUUGGGACUGAGACACGGCCCAAACUCCUACGGGAGGCAGCAGUAGGGAAUCUUCCGCAAUGGACGAAAGUCUGACGGAGCAACGCCGCGUGAGUGAAAGAAGGUUUUCGGAUCGUAAAACUCUGUUGUCAGAGAAGAACAAGUUGGAGAGUAACUGCUCCAGCCUUGACGGUAUCUGACCAGAAAGCCACGGCUAACUACGUGCCAGCCGCCGC